GAGGCAUUUAUCUAAACAGGGUCAUUACAGUGUUAACUGGCACUAUUGCGCAUCAGGGUGUGGGUCAUAAAGGCUGCCCUGCAGUAAAAUAAUUUCGGAAGUCUGGUGACGUACCCGCCACUACGCCGUCUGUUCUGGAGGUUGUGAGCUUCAUCGGUAAAACGUUUGGCGCAGGCGCGGCACUGACAGCUGCUGUCUACUUACUCCGCAAAGUCUGCUUAAGAAUGGCCUGGAAAUCUGGAGGAGCCAGCCACGCAGAGCUUGUUAACAACCUCCGCAAAAAUGGCAUUAUUAAGUCCGACAAGGUCUAUGAAGUCUUGCUUGCCACAGACCGAGCCCAUUUCUCUAGGUGUAAUCCUUAUAUGGACUCUCCGCAGUCAAUAGGCUAUCAAGCAACCAUCAGCGCCCCACACAUGCACGCCUAUGCCCUGGAGCUUCUACACGAUCAGCUGUAUGAGGGAGCCAAAGCCCUGGACGUCGGCUCCGGCAGUGGAAUCCUGUCCGUUUGCUUCGCACGAAUGGUAGGUCCUAAAGGGAAAGUUAUAGGAAUUGAUCACAUCAAAGAGCUGGUAGAUGAUUCUAUAAACAACGUGAAGAAAGAUGACCCCAGUUUGAUCACAUCAGGCCGAGUCAAGCUAAUAGUGGGAGACGGGCGAAUGGGCUACACGGAGGAGGCACCUUAUGAUGCCAUCCAUGUUGGCGCAGCAGCACCCACUGUACCCCAAGCUCUUUUGGACCAGUUGAAGCCUGGCGGACGGCUGAUUUUGCCCGUCGGCCCAGCCGGAGGAAACCAGAUGCUGGAGCAAUAUGACAAGAUGGAGGAUGGCAGCACCAAGAUGAAGCCCUUGAUGGGGGUGAUUUAUGUGCCUUUAACAGACCGAGACAAGCAGUGGUCCAGGUGGAAGUGACUUCCUUCUCCCUCUCCUCCCUUUCUCUCCUUCUCACAGUGGCAAAGGUGAAAAGGGAUGAACUUUGAAGAGGAAGGCAGUCCAUAAUCCACCUUUAAGUUUGAACCUGGAGAAAACUUGGAUGGGGUCAAACAGCCCUUGACAUUUUGAUGAAAGCAUAACAAAACAUGCUCUUUUUGUUUAACAAUGGACUAGAGUAUCACACUGAUGUCAGCCCAGAACGGCUGGGGAGAAAGACUGCUUGAAGCUCAGCACUGAAAUGUUUGGACAUUUCAGGCCUGCAUCUUUUUUUGUUGUGUAUUCUUUCUAACUGCUGGAUUUUAGGUUUAUUUGCAUUUCUGUUUUGUUUUUGUGGUUUAAUCUGAGUUACACCCAUUUUUUGCAGUAUUACAUUUCAGCAGCAUCAAAGCUGAAUGUAUGAUGAACUCUGGACGACAACAAGGAAAUCUGUGAUUUUUAGAUGAUUCACCUAUCUACAGCGUAUAUGUGUGCACAUAUCAUCUAACUGUAGACUUCUCUGCUAACAUGAGCUUUUCUCCACUGCCAGCAGUAUUAGAAACACACACACACCGGCACCACAAAGGCUGAUAUAGCCCAUGCAUCCUGUUGUUUGACGCACCGUGCUCUUUAGGCCACUCCACACAUAGAAUAAGCAAUGCAUUGAGAGCGAAGCAGCAGUAACACCGACACAAGUGCACAUACAGGGCUGUGCUUUCCACUUGGUGAUGUGUAGCUUUCCUCUGCUGGUUUUCCAUUAACAGCUGUGCAGGCUCUUAUGGUGACUGACGCUACAUGAGAUCGUCACUGCUUUGCCAAAAUAAACUCCAACAAUAUAAAGCAAAUGAAUGUCUGUUUUCUUGGAAUUCAAAAACUACAUGAAAUCAAAAAAGCACAUUUUAUUUUAGGCGAUGUAAAUAAUGGAUGAUAUUUGGCUUUCACCAUUUCUGGAAUGGCAUAUAAAAAUAAAGAGAUGCUUAUGU